rnacentral:lncRNA from 1 species
GUACACUCCAGGGGCCGGCCCAUGGCUGAGUGGUUAAGUUCGUGCACUCCCCUUCAGCUUCCCAGGGUUUCACGGGUUGGGAUCCUGGGCGCGGACACGGCACCACUCAUCAAGACACGCUGAGGCGGUGUCCCACAUGCUACAACUAGAAGGACCCACAACUAAAAUAUACAACUAUGUACUGGGGGGCUUUGGGGAGAAGAAGGAAAAAUAAAUAAAUGUAUACUCUGGGGCCCGCAUAGGGUGAAACACCAGGCGUAGCGCACCUUGCAUGCGAUAGCAGAGCAGGGCAGGCGGAGGUGACUGAGAGGAUGGGGCGUCAGAGGGGGGUCUGGGCAACGGUGUCCAGUGUCCUGGACAGGGGAUGACAGACCGGGUGGGAGAAGGUCUGGGAAGCCCGUACAGGGCUGGGAUAAUGGAGAGUGAAAUCCCUGUUCUCUGACAGGGACUCUCUGCAGUGUGGACAUGUCGACCUACUCUGAUGAGGGAAGAGAGACCUCAAUGAACGUGAUGUAGCUUUGGGGUCAACGGAUGGAACUGUUUUGAAUACAUACUAAUUUUCCAAACAGAAUUGGUAUCAUAGUAAACAAACCAUUCCAAGACAUUUGUUACUGUCUGCAAAAUGUAGUCUCACCAUUGCUUAACGGCGGGCUGUGUGAUGGAGCUGGGGAAGAGGCGAAGCGUCAUUGCACAGCUUCCAGUGGACAAGAGGGGGGCAGGCAAGGACAUCCUCACCGCGCCAGCACACUUGGUUCUUCUCUGUCAGCUCCUGCUUCUGAGGCUCAGAGUCCACACCCUCCUCUGAUGGCCCACUAGAAGGAGAGUCAGGGGCUAAGACGGCACAUGGACUGGAGUAAAGUGAGAGGAGGGGAAAGCACAUGAACACGGGAAAGGGGUGAAGGUGUCCUUGUCUGUCCCCACUUGUCCACUGGAAGCUGUGCAAUGACGCUUCGCCUCUUCCCCAGCUCCACCACAGAGCCCCUCCUGCCCACACAGUGACACUGAAGCUCACACAUCAUGGAAACAGGGGCUUAUCCCUGGUGGCUGUUACAUGUCCAAGUAUUCUCUCUGGAGUCAUGCUACUAUGUGACGUCAGAGGCCUCACACUGACAGAAUGAAGGAGGCAAAGUUGGAAUGGGGAACUAACAUUUUGAGAGCCCACCAGAUGCUACACAGUGUAGACUGUUAUUUUCAGACUUUUUCUCUCUAUAUCCUCAAGGCAGUGCUCUGAGGUGGGCAUCAUUACUUCCUUUCUACAGACGGGGAGAUACUCAGGGUCAGGGAGCAAAGUACAUGCUCAGAGGAGUCUAGGGAGGCAUCGAGUGGACGCAGAAGCCAACCUGGUGGAGCUAACAGUGGCCAAUCCUGGGACAAUGUGAGCAUCAAAAUACACAGUAAUACUAAACCCUUUUAGUUGUAGGAAUCUAUGACUCAUACUGAUACAGAUAUUUAAAUAAAUAAAUCACAAGGGGAGAAGGGAAAGGUCUA